AACAAGGACAAGAGUAAUAUACUAAUAUACAACGACUGGUACAGUAUCGAUGAUGUGGAGAAUAUGGAGCACAUAGAAGGAAUAAAAAUAGUUAAGAAUAUUAAAUACCCAGGAGUGGCAAUCAACAACAUGAAAGACUACUUCAGAGGACAGAUAAAAAGGGCCCAAAUUAAAGCAAAGCAGAUGGCAACUAUGGCUAAUGCAGUCAUCAAUAAAAGCUGUAGCAGAGUAAAAAUAGGAAAACUGUACUGGAAAGGAUUAGCGAUGCCAUCAUUCAUGUAUGCAAUGGAAGUCAUGAAACUUGACAAGAAAACUAUAAGUAUAUAGAACAAUUUUGAAAGCGCCAAGUUACACAGCAAGUUGUGCGUUAAGAUCUGAAAUAGGGGCCUCUUCCUGCCACUCAAGAGAUAUCAAGAAUAAACUAUUCUACUUGAAACAUACACUGAAGAGUGGUGGAAAUAGGCCCCUAUUUGAGAUAACCAAGGAUCAGUAUGAAAAACAAAACCCCUAGCUAAUGCAAGUAAAAGAAUAUAUGAAAGAGCUAAACAUAAAUUUAAGUACAAUUGAAGAGAAUUUUUAAACAAUUAGGAGAGAAAAGCAUGUCAGAAUAAAUGAAUGAAAAGUCAACGUUAAGAAUCUACAGAAAAUAGAAGAGAAGAAAUCUGGUAUGACAACACGGAAAAAAAAAAACACAAUGCUGAUCAGCAGGGCCAGACUAGGUAUACUAGGAUUAAAUGAUAGAAAUAGGAUAAAAGGAGAAGAUAUAAAUUGUUUAUGUUGUGAGGAACAAAAUGAAAAUUUAGAACAUUUCUUACUUUACUGUCCAGCAUACAAUGAGAUUAGAAAUAGAUAUAGUUUUAUGCAGCAACCAUAUCGAGAAAAUAAAGAGGAAUUAGUAGCAAAUAUACUCUUAUUGGUAGAUCUACUGGGGGAGGAAGUGGAGAAUAGGAAAGAUUUUCUAAAAGAAAUGUUGUGGUAUUUCAGAGAGAACAAACACAAACAAAGGAGGAAUAAAACAAGCAAGGGAGCCGUUUCAAAGACAAAUUCCACCUUUUACUACUACUACUACAAUCUGACGUCAUCUAGAAGAAGAAGAAGAAAUGGUGCUGCUGAUAAAUAACCCGUAUAUAUUUAUUUAAGGUACUGUACUGAAUUCACAUUAUGUCCGGAGAUUCCCAGGACCAGGAAUUGCAAGACAUUGCUGGUACUAUUUACGGUCUCAAAGUUCAACGAAGACAAGUACCUGAUCAGGAUAGAGUUCGUGCCAACCGUUCCACACUGUUCCCUGGCGACGUUGAUCGGGCUUUGCAUACGCGUCAAACUUGGCCGAACUCUUCCGUAUUCCUACAAGCUGG